UUAGGAAUUUUGGGCAAUGGCCGCAAGGCUGACCCAGCAACGCCGCGUGGGGGAUGAAGGCUCUUGGGUUGUAAACCCCUUUUCCCAGGGACGAUAGUGACGGUACCUGGGGAAGAAGCCCCGGCUAACUACGUGCCAGCAGCCGCGGUAAUACGUAGGGGGCGAGCGUUGUCCGGAUUUAUUGGGCGUAAAGCGCGCGUAGACGGCGUUGCAAGUCGGCCGUGAAAACGCCAGGCUCAACCUGGCGAGGUCGGGCGAGACUGUAAGGCUAGAGGUAGGCAGAGGGCGGUGGAAUUCCGGGUGUAGUGGUGGAAUGCGUAGAGAUCCGGAGGAACACCAGUGGCGAAGGCGGCCGCCUGGGCCUGUCCUGACGCUGAGGUGCGAAAGCGUGGGGAGCGAUCCG
rnacentral:rRNA from 1 species